rnacentral:pre_miRNA from 17 species
GACCGCACGGGAUAAUCUAUUAUCCCGUGCGGUCACCCUUAUUGGACCGCACGGGAUAAUCGAUUAUCCCGUGCGGUC